GGGGAUGUAGCUCAAUUGGUUAGAGCACCGGCCUGUCACGCCGGAGGUUGCGGGUUCGAGCCCCGUCAUCCUCGC
rnacentral:tRNA from 2 species